rnacentral:rRNA from 1 species
UACGAAGGGGACUAGCGUUGUUCGGAAUCACUGGGCGUAAAGCGCACGUAGGCGGAUGUGUCAGUCAGGGGUGAAAUCCCGGGGCUCAACCUCGGAACUGCCUUUGAUACAGCACGUCUCGAGUCCGGAAGAGGUGGGUGGAAUUCCUAGUGUAGAGGUGAAAUUCGUAGAUAUUAGGAAGAACACGGUGGCGAAGGCGGCCCACUGGUCCGGUACUGACGCUGAGGUGCGAAAGCGUGGGGAGCAAACAGGAUUGAGAAACCCUUAGGUAGUC